UUGAACGCUGGCGGCAGGCCUAACACAUGCAAGUCGCGCGGAUGAAGGGAGCUUGCUCCUGGAUUCAGCGGCGGACGGGUGAGUAAUGCCUAGGAAUCUGCCUGGUAGUGGGGGAUAACGUCCGGAAACGGGCGCUAAUACCGCAUACGUCCUGAGGGAGAAAGUGGGGGAUCUUCGGACCUCACGCUAUCAGAUGAGCCUAGGUCGGAUUAGCUAGUUGGUGGGGUAAAGGCCUACCAAGGCGACGAUCCGUAACUGGUCUGAGAGGAUGAUCAGUCACACUGGAACUGAGGCACGGUCCAGACUCCUACGGGAGGCAGCAGUGGGGAAUAUUGGACAAUGGGCGAAAGCCUGAUCCAGCCAUGCCGCGUGUGUGAAGAAGGUCUUCGGAUUGUAAAGCACUUUAAGUUGGGAGGAAGGGCAGUAAGUUAAUACCUUGCUGUUUUGACGUUACCAACAGAAUAAGCACCGGCUAACUUCGUG
rnacentral:rRNA from 1 species